ACCGCGGGUAAUUCCCGGCGACGUCAUCGGGCGGCAUCGCCCGGUGACCACAGGUGCGAUUCCGCCCUGGGACGGGCCGUCGCGGUAUCAGCUGGUUGGCGGGGUAACGGCCCACCAAGGCUGGGACGCCUACCGGGCGUGCGAGCGUGGCCCGGCACACUGGGACUGAGACACUGCCCAGACUCCUACGGGAGGCUGCAGUCGAGAAUCUUCGGCAAUGGGCGCAAGCCUGACCGAGCGACGCCGCGUGGAGGACGAAGGCCUUCGGGUUGUAAACUCCUGUCGAGGGGGAGGAACGGGGCGCGAAGAGCGUCCCUUGACCGAUCCCUGGAGGAAGCACGGGCUAAGUUCGUGCCAGCAGCCGCGGUAAGACGAACCGUGCGAACGUUAUUCGGAAUCACUGGGCUUAAAGCGCGUGUAGGCGGGCCGGCACGUCGGCUGCUGAAAUCCCCCGGCUCAACCGGGGAAGGGGCACCGAUACGACCG
rnacentral:rRNA from 1 species